rnacentral:rRNA from 1 species
AAAACGACUCUCGGCAACGGAUAUCUCGGCUCUCGCAUCGAUGAAGAACGUAGCGAAAUGCGAUACUUGGUGUGAAUUGCAGAAUCCCGUGAACCAUCGAGUCUUUGAACGCAAGUUGCGCCCGAAGCCAUCAGGUUGAGGGCACGUCUGCCUGGGCGUCGAAC